rnacentral:lncRNA from 1 species
AGCACCCAUGUCAAAGGUAAUUUGAACAGCAUCAAAGAAGUAAUGGAGAGCAGCAGAAACACCAUCUGUAAUUCAUCCUGAAUAAGAAAACCCUGCAUUUUUGUAGUAGUUUGAUUCCCAUUAAUAGGCUAUAUUCAUUAUUUAAUUACAUGCAUUAAAACAGGUAAGUCUGGGUUAGAGCAAAAAUUCUUUCCAACUGCUCAUUCAUAUUCAGGCAAAGAUAACAGUAUGCAGCAACACUUCUCACUUCACACAGGAAAAUGAAAUAAUGACCUCUUUUUUUCUCACCUCUUAACCUCUAUAGAUGGGAAGACUGUAGGGGUCAAAAUAAAGAGCUGAAAUUGGGUUUGGAGUGGUGAAGAGUGACAGCUGCCCACCCCCCCACCUGCUAGGAGAUGGAAAUGUGCAAGACAGAAACAAAGACCUGUACUCUGAGCAACACUGGGAGGUGAUCCCCAGGGGAGUUAGACUGACAAAGUUAUGACCUAAUUAAAGAACAUCUCCUACACGUUGUCAUUGUUCCUGCAAGUCUAAGACAAAAUACUUCUUUCCAUAAUGUCCGUAUGAAGACUGGAGACAAGGUGAACUAAGUUCAUUGUCCAGAUGCAGUGUGAACCACAUAAGAUGUCAGAUCAUAUUAAACCAGGAGGAAAAAGUUCCACUCACAGUGAAGUCACUAGUAGUAAAUGAAGAACCAUGCCUUUUAAUAGUAGGCAAAUGUAAGCAUGCCAAGCCUAUCAAGUGUAGUUGGUGUACCCACAUUGCUAAUUAAGAUAUGGUUUUUUUUCAGUGUGAGCUCUGCCAUGUAGCUCAUUAUUGUAUCUCUAAUAUUUGUCAGUAUCUAAUUUGUUUCAUUAGCACUGUACAGUCACAGUAAGUAAUGCAGACUGACAGGGGUUUUUCACUUCUCUCUACUGCUCUUUCUCAAAAAAAAAUUUAUUAAUUGUUUUUUUGAGCACCAGGAUAAUAAAAGUAAAGAACCUGAAAGAGUCUUCA